UGAGUAAACCGGGUGGUCGCGGGUGUCGGAAGCACCUGAGGAAAGUCCGAGCUCCACAGGGCAGGGUGCUGGGUAAUCCCCAGUGGGGGCGACCCCAAGGAAAGUGCCACAGAAAUGCAGACCGCCGGUUCGGAGGUCGGUCGUAUCUGACUUCCGACGACCGACUUCCGAUCUGGCAAGGGUGGAACGGUGCGGUAAGAGCGCACCAGCGGCCCUGGCGACGGGCCGGCUAGGUAAACCCCACCUGGAGCAAGACCGAAUAGGGGGACACGGGAGUGGCCCGCUCCGUCCCCGGGUAAAGGUCGCUAGAGGCGUCAGGCAACUGGCGUCCCAGAUAGAUGAUCACCCAAGACAGAACUCGGCUUACAGGUUUGCUCACAGC
rnacentral:RNase_P_RNA from 1 species